GGCGGCGUGCCUAAUACAUGCAAGUAGAACGCUGAAGGAGGAGCUUGCUUCUCUGGAUGAGUUGCGAACGGGUGAGUAACGCGUAGGUAACCUGCCUGGUAGCGGGGGAUAACUAUUGGAAACGAUAGCUAAUACCGCAUAAUAGUAGAUGUUGCAUGACAUUUGCUUAAAAGGUGCAAUUGCAUCACUACCAGAUGGACCUGCGUUGUAUUAGCUAGUUGGUGGGGUAACGGCUCACCAAGGCGACGAUACAUAGCCGACCUGAGAGGGUGAUCGGCCACACUGGGACUGAGACACGGCCCAGACUCCUACGGGAGGCAGCAGUAGGGAAUCUUCGGCAAUGGACGGAAGUCUGACCGAGCAACGCCGCGUGAGUGAAGAAGGUUUUCGGAUCGUAAAGCUCUGUUGUAAGAGAAGAACGAGUGUGAGAGUGGAAAGUUCACACUGUGACG
rnacentral:rRNA from 1 species